rnacentral:rRNA from 1 species
GCCUAAAGCGUCCGUAGCCGGCUCUGUAAGUUUUCGGUUAAAUCUGUACGCUCAACGUACAGGCUGCUGGGAAUACUGCAGAGCUAGGGAGUGGGAGAGGUAGACGGUACUCGGGAGGAAGUGGUAAAAUGCUUUGAUCUCUCGAUGACCACCUGUGGCGAAGGCGGUCUACCAGAACACGUCCGACGGUGAGGGAUGAAAGCUGGGGGAGCAAACCGGAUUAGAUACCCGGGUAGUCCCAGCUGUAAACUAUGCAAACUCAGUGAUGCGUUGGCUUAUGGCCAGCGCAGUGUUGCAGGGAAGCCGUUAAGUUUGCCGCCUGGGAAGUACGUACGCAAGUAUGAAACUUAAAGGAAUUGGCGGGGGAGCACCACAAGGGGUGAAGCCUGCGGUUCAAUUGGAGUCAACGCCAGAAAUCUUACCCGGAGAGACAGCAGAAUGAAGGUCAAGCUGAAGACUUUACCAGACAAGCUGAGAGGUGGUGCAUGGCCGUCGCCAGCUCGUGCCGUGAGAUGUCCUGUUAAGUCAGGUAACGAGCGAGAUCCCUGCCUCUAGUUGCCACCAUUACUCUCAGGAGUAGUGGGGCGAAUUAGCGGGACCGCCGCAGUUAAUGCGGAGGAAGGAAGGGGCCACGGCAGGUCAGUAUGCCCCGAA